UACGAAGGGUGCAAGCGUUAAUCGGAAUUACUGGGCGUAAAGCGCGCGUAGGUGGUUCAGUAAGUUGGAUGUGAAAUCCCCGGGCUCAACCUGGGAACUGCAUCCAAAACUGCUGAGCUAGAGUACGGUAGAGGGUAGUGGAAUUUCCUGUGUAGCGGUGAGAUGCGUAGAUAUAGGAAGGAACACCAGUGGCGAAGGCGACUACCUGGACUGGUACUGACACUGAGGUGCGAAAGCGUGGGGAGCAAACAGG
rnacentral:rRNA from 1 species